rnacentral:rRNA from 1 species
GCAACUCGACUACAUGAAGCUGGAAUCGCUAGUAGUCGCAGAUCAGAAUGCUGCGGUGAAUACGUUCCCGGGUCUUGUACACACCGCCCGUCACACCAUGGGAGUCGGAAAUGCCCGAAGCCGGUGACCAAACCAAUAAGGAAGGAGCCGUCGAAGGCAGGUCUGAUAACUGGGGUGAAGUCGUAACAAGGUACC